GUGACUGUACUUUAAAAGGUUA
rnacentral:miRNA from 1 species